rnacentral:rRNA from 1 species
UAAGUUAUUAAGGGCGCACGGUGGAUGCCUUGGCACUAGAAGCCGAUGAAGGACGUUACUAACGACGAUAUGCUUUGGGGAGCUGUAAGUAAGCUUUGAUCCAGAGAUUUCCGAAUGGGGAAACCCAGCAUGAGUUAUGUCAUGUUAUCGAUAUGUGAAUACAUAGCAUAUCAGAAGGCACACCCGGAGAACUGAAACAUCUUAGUACCCGGAGGAAGAGAAAGAAAAUUCGAUUCCCUUAGUAGCGGCGAGCGAAACGGGAAGAGCCCAAACCAACAAGCUUGCUUGUUGGGGUUGUAGGACACUCUAUACGGAGUUACAAAGGACGACAUUAGACGAAUCAUCUGGAAAGAUGAAUCAAAGAAGGUAAUAAUCCUGUAGUCGAAAAUGUUGUCUCUCUUGAGUGGAUCCUGAGUACGACGGAGCACGUGAAAUUCCGUCGGAAUCUGGGAGGACCAUCUCCUAAGGCUAAAUACUCUCUAGUGACCGAUAGUGAACCAGUACCGUGAGGGAAAGGUGAAAAGCACCCCGGAAGGGGAGUGAAAUAGAACCUGAAACCGUGUGCUUACAAGUAGUCAGAGCCCGUUAAUGGGUGAUGGCGUGCCUUUUGUAGAAUGAACCGGCGAGUUACGAUUUGAUGCAAGGUUAAGCAGUAAAUGUGGAGCCGUAGCGAAAGCGAGUCUGAAUAGGGCGUUUAGUAUUUGGUCGUAGACCCGAAACCAGGUGAUCUACCCUUGGUCAGGUUGAAGUUCAGGUAACACUGAAUGGAGGACCGAACCGACUUACGUUGAAAAGUGAGCGGAUGAACUGAGGGUAGCGGAGAAAUUCCAAUCGAACCUGGAGAUAGCUGGUUCUCUCCGAAAUAGCUUUAGGGCUAGCCUCAAGUGAUGAUUAUUGGAGGUAGAGCACUGUUUGGACGAGGGGCCCCUCUCGGGUUACCGAAUUCAGACAAACUCCGAAUGCCAAUUAAUUUAACUUGGGAGUCAGAACAUGGGUGAUAAGGUCCGUGUUCGAAAGGGAAACAGCCCAGACCACCAGCUAAGGUCCCAAAAUAUAUGUUAAGUGGAAAAGGAUGUGGCGUUGCCCAGACAACUAGGAUGUUGGCUUAGAAGCAGCCAUCAUUUAAAGAGUGCGUAAUAGCUCACUAGUCGAGUGACACUGCGCCGAAAAUGUACCGGGGCUAAACAUAUUACCGAAGCUGUGGAUUGUCCUUUGGACAAUGGUAGGAGAGCGUUCUAAGGGCGUUGAAGCAUGAUCGUAAGGACAUGUGGAGCGCUUAGAAGUGAGAAUGCCGGUGUGAGUAGCGAAAGACGGGUGAGAAUCCCGUCCACCGAUUGACUAAGGUUUCCAGAGGAAGGCUCGUCCGCUCUGGGUUAGUCGGGUCCUAAGCUGAGGCCGACAGGCGUAGGCGAUGGAUAACAGGUUGAUAUUCCUGUACCACCUAUAAUCGUUUUAAUCGAUGGGGGGACGCAGUAGGAUAGGCGAAGCGUGCGAUUGGAUUGCACGUCUAAGCAGUAAGGCUGAGUAUUAGGCAAAUCCGGUACUCGUUAAGGCUGAGCUGUGAUGGGGAGAAGACAUUGUGUCUUCGAGUCGUUGAUUUCACACUGCCGAGAAAAGCCUCUAGAUAGAAAAUAGGUGCCCGUACCGCAAACCGACACAGGUAGUCAAGAUGAGAAUUCUAAGGUGAGCGAGCGAACUCUCGUUAAGGAACUCGGCAAAAUGACCCCGUAACUUCGGGAGAAGGGGUGCUCUUUAGGGUUAACGCCCAGAAGAGCCGCAGUGAAUAGGCCCAAGCGACUGUUUAUCAAAAACACAGGUCUCUGCUAAACCGUAAGGUGAUGUAUAGGGGCUGACGCCUGCCCGGUGCUGGAAGGUUAAGAGGAGUGGUUAGCUUCUGCGAAGCUACGAAUCGAAGCCCCAGUAAACGGCGGCCGUAACUAUAACGGUCCUAAGGUAGCGAAAUUCCUUGUCGGGUAAGUUCCGACCCGCACGAAAGGCGUAACGAUUUGGGCACUGUCUCAACGAGAGACUCGGUGAAAUCAUAGUACCUGUGAAGAUGCAGGUUACCCGCGACAGGACGGAAAGACCCCGUGGAGCUUUACUGUAGCCUGAUAUUGAAAUUCGGCACAGCUUGUACAGGAUAGGUAGGAGCCUUUGAAACGUGAGCGCUAGCUUACGUGGAGGCGCUGGUGGGAUACUACCCUAGCUGUGUUGGCUUUCUAACCCGCACCACUUAUCGUGGUGGGAGACAGUGUCAGGCGGGCAGUUUGACUGGGGCGGUCGCCUCCUAAAAGGUAACGGAGGCGCUCAAAGGUUCCCUCAGAAUGGUUGGAAAUCAUUCAUAGAGUGUAAAGGCAUAAGGGAGCUUGACUGCGAGACCUACAAGUCGAGCAGGGUCGAAAGACGGACUUAGUGAUCCGGUGGUUCCGCAUGGAAGGGCCAUCGCUCAACGGAUAAAAGCUACCCCGGGGAUAACAGGCUUAUCUCCCCCAAGAGUUCACAUCGACGGGGAGGUUUGGCACCUCGAUGUCGGCUCAUCGCAUCCUGGGGCUGUAGUCGGUCCCAAGGGUUGGGCUGUUCGCCCAUUAAAGCGGUACGCGAGCUGGGUUCAGAACGUCGUGAGACAGUUCGGUCCCUAUCCGUCGUGGGCGUAGGAAAUUUGAGAGGAGCUGUCCUUAGUACGAGAGGACCGGGAUGGACAUACCUCUGGUGUACCAGUUGUCGUGCCAACGGCAUAGCUGGGUAGCUAUGUGUGGACGGGAUAAGUGCUGAAAGCAUCUAAGCAUGAAGCCCCCUCAAGAUGAGAUUUCCCAACUUCGGUUAUAAGAUCCCUCAAAGAUGAUGAGGUUAAUAGGUUCGAGGUGGAAGCAUGGUGACAUGUGGAGCUGACGAAUACUAAUCGAUCGAAGACUUAAUCA